CUUGUUUGGGAACGUGCUUUUAAUGUACUCAGGGAUGGUUAUUAACAGGGUGGUAAUAUGGAAAUAGGCUAAAGAGAACAUGUUCUCUGAGAAUGGCUGCUGAUGCAUGGUAACUUUUUUUGUUCUUGAGAUGACAAAUUCAACAGGGUGAUGACAUUAUUAAGUCAGCCUUGUUGUCUGCUGGACACUGACUGGUCAGAAGACCCAAUGAAAUUGUUUAGUUAGAAUAGACAGGAAGAGUGAAUGUCUCGGUCUGCUAGGGCUGCUAUAAUACCAUAGAAUGGGGGCUUAAACAACAUUUAUUUCUCACAGUUCUGGAGUUUGGAAGACUAAGACUAACGUGCCAGUAGAUUCAGUUCUUAGCGAACACCCUUUUCCUGCUUUACAGACGGCUGCUUUCUCAUACAUCCUCAAGUGGUGGAGACAGGAACCUCUAGUAUCUCUUCCUCUCCCUAUAAAGGCACUAAUCUCACCAUGGAGGCUCCACCCUUAUGACCUCAUCUACACCUAAUUACCUUCCAAAGGCCCCACCUACUAGUACCAUCAGACAGGGUGAGGACUUGAACAUAUGAUCUAGGGGUGUGGGACACGAACAAACAGUCUUUAACAAUAGACAAGGCAGACGUCUGCAAGUGUGAUUAUGGAUAAUAGCAAAAUCAAAGGUGAUGUACAACAGUGAGAAAAAGAUCUCUUUAGAUAACUAUCAUUUUCAUUAAGCAGUAGUCCAUGAUCAAAACUAAGAUAAUGUGUUUUAAAUGAGUUGCUUGAGGAAGUUGCUCAGGGAGUAAGGGAGUCAGGGGGAAUAUUUCAGUAAGGCUGUUUGGUAAGCUAGAACACUGGACAGCACCUAAGCUUUUCAUGUUUACACAUUAGUAAACUGCGUGUCAUCUCAUAUUGGGAGGAGACCUGUCCACGUACCGGUCACCCAGCAAUCUUGGUUACGAAUGUUGCCAGCAUCAGGUAGCCAUUUUUGUCAAGCAACAGGACCUGUACUGCUGCUGAUAGAUUUGCUAGUGUUGAGGGGAGAUACUUCUCAUCCCUGAAAGGAUCAAACUCCUUGAGAGUCAGCAAUGGCUGCCAGCAGUGUGUUAAUUACAGCAGUCAAAUGGAAGACUAGAAAAUGAAAGGACCAGUCCCAGCAAUGCUUACCAUGGCCCAGGGGUCAUUUUGCUCUAAAAGCAUGUCCUGGUUUGAGGUAAAAUAUUUGAAAUGACUAAUGUAGUGGCACCACUAUGUUAGCUCUAAAAUGUGAAGGGAACAGUAACCAACCAAUUGUCUCAACUAUCACUCAUGAGUCCACGGUGACACAGUAUCCUCCAUCAGUAGUUAUCUCCUGACCUUAGUAAAUCACCUAUUGAAACUGAACGAAAUACGUACUCCAAAAAUACUACAAACAAAUCUAUCAAACUGUGUCGCUGGUUAGAUACAUCUGAAGAGGUAUAGAGCGGUGAGAGAUGCCCAAAAGAUUCAAAAGAGUUCUGAAAGGAUACCUAACAGGCACUAACACUCUGAAAUCACUAUAAUCGAAAUUCCAGGACUGAGAUCAUUUGAUGUUGAGCUACAUACAGUACUUGUGAGACCAGGUCAAUUUCUGAUUCAACUGUUUCAAGCAUGCAGUCCUUUGGAAUCCCAACCUAAAAUACAGGAUUUACUGGAGCCUCUUCAGCCACUCUUCUGGCCCUCAGUAUCUCAAAAGUGUAUCAGCUAUGACAUUGAAGUCAGGACAGUGGUUUACCUUUAAGAAAGAGGGAAGGAUACAGUUUUAUUUAUUGACCAGGGUGGUAGGCUUUUUCAAAGGCUGUUUUCAUCAAGGAUACUCUUCUAUUAAAAAAUCAUUAACGAUCCUUCACUGCCUAUAGGAGUAAAUCUGAAAUUAGUAAGGAGUACUAAAAUAUGAGCCAGGAGAUCUGGGAUCUAGUCUUACUUCUAAUGAGGGACCAUGAGAUGUCAAGGCAGCCACAUGGAAAAUGAGAGGCGCGAGAUGGAGAAUUAGUUGGCCUUCAGAUAACUACGGUACGGCACACGUUCAAAGGCAAUAUGGCAAGUGAUUGAAUAAUCCUAGACUAGGAUUCUAGUGCUGCCACUUACUAGUUGUGUGACCUUAAGCAUGUUAUUUAUCCUUUUUUAAGCCUCAGUUUCUGAUUCAGUAAGGUGGGGCUACUAAUAUUGACCUUUUUCAGGGUUAUAAGAACCAUUAAAAAUAAUAUAUGUAAAGCAUCUACCCAUAAUGUAACCCAGUAGCUGCUGAACAGAUGGUUUCUGUUACUAUAAAUCAUCCUCAUUCUACAGAUAGCAUUUCAGGACCUUUACAACCACCAAUAUAUUUUUGCAUUAUUUAAGAAUUACUACAGGUCAAAUACUGGGCUAGGAACUUUACAUACACCAUCUCAUUAUGUUUAUUAUUAAAUUCACACUUUAUUAUUAAAUAUUAUCAUUAUAAUAGCCUCAGAUUGUAUGACUUAAUCUUAUUUUAUGGAUUAAAAACUGAGGCUAAGGUUAUGUAAUUUUAUAAAGUUACAAAGUUUGUAACAGUUCACUAUAGUUUAUUACAAAGUUUGCAACUUGCAGAGUAGGAAGUUAAAUUUAAAAUUUAAAGUCAGAACCAUGAGACUCAAAGCCCGUGUCUGUGACAGCUAUGCCACGUGCUGCCUCAGAUGUGAGCUCUUCUGGCUCUAUCCUUGCCCCCUCCCCCGCCUCAGGCCCAACUUGAACUCUACCUGUUUUAUAAGUCUGUCAGUCUACCACCAACAUAGUCAUUUCAUUUUUGUCCUACUUAAUUUUUCAGUCUAGACCAUCCAUUCAGGCAUCGACAUAUUGCAACAUCACAGAAUAUGCUGUAAGUGAUUUUUUUUUUCCUGCUAAUGCUGGGUUUUUUUUUCAAUAUGAAUUUUAAAUUCCUUAAAGACAGAAGAGAUAACCUUUCCAAGUCAUAACAAACUUACCUACCUCUGGUAGAAUGAUAGAUUGUGCAUUUUCAUAGCAAGGCGCAAUGACAAUGAGUUGUGAUAAUUAAGAAAAAACUCAAAUGGUGAAAGGACACACGUCUGUGACACAAAUAGUACCUUGGUAACAGUAACAGGCAGAGAAAACACAGAUGGUACAUGGUAAUUUUCUGACUGCAGAACAGAGGGCAAUGAGCACUAACCAGAAGCUCUCUGGUCUCCCAUUCUGUCUUGCCCUAGAUUUGACAGGCUGUAGAUAUUAAAUGGCUGUGGACAAUGUAAAGAGAAAGAAAUCUAAUAGUUGCUAAGAGAUGAAAUGAUCAGUUUUGAACCUUUUAUGACCUCAACUAUUCUAUCAUUUUCACCAAGGCUCAAAUUAGAGCAACUAUAUUUUUUAGUUUGGAAUUAACUGUGAAUACAAGCGUUCACUUUCUUUCUAUAAGCAAACACACCUGGAAGAGUAGGUUGCUCAUGACAAUAAUUUCACAUUACUAAUUUAAACCUUAUUCAAUAUUGCUCACAAUGGAUGGGACCAUAUCAAGCCUAUUUCACUCUAGUCUCCAUAUCCCCUCCAGAGGUGACGAUAUAUUUCAAUACAGCAAGAUGCCUUUCAUACAUUGAGAAUAUUAUAUUAAAAAGGGCUAAAAAUAUAUUCUCCCCUUUACGUUGCCCCAAUAACACUUCUGGGAAGAAUGUGUAGUGAGGGGAGAAUAUACCUCUUGGAGAUUUCUGGUUUUACUCCUUCCUCUCUUCUUACC